rnacentral:rRNA from 1 species
AAGUCGAACGGAAAGGCCUCUUCGGAGGUACUCGAGUGGCGAACGGGUGAGUAACACGUGGGCAAUCUGCCCUGCACUUCGGGAUAAGCCUGGGAAACUGGGUCUAAUACCGGAUAGGACCUCAAGACGCAUGUCUUCUGGUGGAAAGCUUUUGCGGUGUGGGAUGGGCCCGCGGCCUAUCAGCUUGUUGGUGGGGUGACGGCCUACCAAGGCGACGACGGGUAGCCGGCCUGAGAGGGUGUCCGGCCACACUGGGACUGAGAUACGGCCCAGACUCCUACGGGAGGCAGCAGUGGGGAAUAUUGCACAAUGGGCGCAAGCCUGAUGCAGCGACGCCGCGUGGGGGAUGACGGCCUUCGGGUUGUAAACCUCUUUCACCAUCGACGAAGGUCCGGGUUUUCUCGGAUUGACGGUAGGUGGAGAAGAAGCACCGGCCAACUACGUGCCAGCAGCCGCGGUAAUACGUAGGGUGCGAGCGUUGUCCGGAAUUACUGGGCGUAAAGAGCUCGUAGGUGGUUUGUCGCGUUGUUCGUGAAAUCUCACGGCUUAACUGUGAGCGUGCGGGCGAUACGGGCAGACUAGAGUACUGCAGGGGAGACUGGAAUUCCUGGUGUAGCGGUGGAAUGCGCAGAUAUCAGGAGGAACACCGGUGGCGAAGGCGGGUCUCUGGGCAGUAACUGACGCUGAGGAGCGAAAGCGUGGGGAGCGAACAGGAUUAGAUACCCUGGUAGUCCACGCCGUAAACGGUGGGUACUAGGUGUGGGUUUCCUUCCUUGGGAUCCGUGCCGU